GAUGAACGCUGGCGGCGUGCUUAACACAUGCAAGUCGAACGGAAAGGCUCCUGCUUGCAGGGGUACUCGAGUGGCGAACGGGUGAGUAACACGUGGGUGAUCUGCCCUGCACUUCGGGAUAAGCCUGGGAAACUGGGUCUAAUACCGGAUAGGACCACAUUUUGGAUGGUGUGGUGGAAAGUUUUUCGGUGUGGGAUGAGCUCGCGGCCUAUCAGCUUGUUGGUGGGGUAAUGGCCUACCAAGGCGUCGACGGGUAGCCGGCCUGAGAGGGUGUACGGCCACAUUGGGACUGAGAUACGGCCCAGACUCCUACGGGAGGCAGCAGUGGGGAAUAUUGCACAAUGGGCGCAAGCCUGAUGCAGCGACGCCGCGUGGGGGAUGACGGCCUUCGGGUUGUAAACUCCUUUCGCUAGGGACGAAGCGUUUUUGUGACGGUACCUGGAGAAGAAGCACCGGCUAACUACGUG
rnacentral:rRNA from 1 species